UCGUGUCAACUCAAAAGUCAUGGGGCUUUUUGCUUCAUUCGUAAUUUUCCAGAUUAGAUGGGCUGGGUUUCCAUGUGCGAUUAACCGAUUAUAUACGACAUCGACACACGACACAGAUGUUUUUAGUUGUAUUUAGUAUUUUCACUAUUUUGUUUGUUUCCCUUCUGUCUGAUAACUGUUUGCAGAGUAAUGUGAAAUAUGCGGCCCUCAACCUCGCCCUCAACUUGAUUUCCUUCCCUUGAAGAUCAUGACCAAGAAUGUGCAGCCGGGUUGAUUUCUCUUGAUGGAAAUCAGCUACCAGGGAGGCGCAGUACGGGCAUGACCAAAUCACUGUAUUCAGUAUUCACUGAACAACCGUGUAACAAGAGUUCUUACUUCAUAACGAAUUGAAGUGAAAUGUUUUCUAUCUCAGUUGAUUUUAUAUCUCAAGUGUUCUUCGUAUCUCAAGAUUGUUUUGUUUUUGCUUUGGCAUACCGUUCACUCGGGUCAACUUAAUGCAAGCCGCUUGUGGCCUACUUCGCAGUCAAUGUAAGAGCGUGUACUCAGGUCACUACUCAUGUAUGUCACUACGUCAUUCCCCAUCCCAAUCUUCCCUUUUGCUUACUUCAAUAAAUUUUCUUUAACAGCUCUGAACAGCCAACAUUCCAUUCCAUUCAAU